UACGGAGGGAGCAAGCGUUGUCCGGAAUCAUUGGGCGUAAAGCGCGCGUAGGCGGCCCGGUAAGUCCGCUGUGAAAGCCCCAGGCUCAACCUGGGAAAGCCGGUGGAUACUGCCGGGCUAGAGUCCGGAAGAGGUGAGUGGAAUUCCUGGUGUAGCGGUGGAAUGCGCAGAUAUCAGGAGGAACACCAACGGCGAAGGCAGCUCGCUGGGACGGUACUGACACUGAGGCGCGAAAGCGUGGGGAGCGAACAGG
rnacentral:rRNA from 1 species